AUUGCAAGUCAAGUUCUAUUGAAGUUAGAUAUUAUAUUGUAUAUUGUGAAGUUAAUUAUGUGAUGGAAGUUUUUAGUGUAGAAUAACACAUUAGAAACUGAAGAUAAAUGU
rnacentral:lncRNA from 1 species